AGAGGGCGCUGGGUGGUCAGUGGCUCCAGCAACCACGCGGCUGGGGUGCGCCGGGAAGGGAGCUGGAUGUUUUAGCCUCGGGGCGCACGCUGCGGGCCCUUCGUGUUCCGGACGCUAAACACCGAGAGCACCCCGUCUCCGGGGCCUCCGGAGAACGCUGUCCCAUGAACGUGCGGGGAGCGGCCCCCGGUGUCCGCGCGUCCGCGCGUCCCCGCGUCCCUGGCAAUUCCCGACUUCCCAACGGCUUCCCGCCGGCAGCCCCGAAGCCGCACCAUGUUCCGCCUCUGGUUGCUGCUGGCCGGGCUCUGCGGCCUCCUGGCGUCAAGACCCGGUUUUCAAAAUUCACUUCUACAGAUCGUAAUUCCAGAGAAAAUCCAAACAAAUACAAAUGACAGUUCAGAAAUAGAAUAUGAACAAAUAUCCUAUAUUAUUCCAAUAGAUGAGAAACUGUACACUGUGCACCUUAAACAAAGAUAUUUUUUAGCAGAUAAUUUUAUGAUCUAUUUGUACAAUCAAGGAUCCAUGAAUACUUAUUCUUCAGAUAUUCAGACUCAAUGCUACUAUCAAGGAAAUAUUGAAGGAUAUCCAGAUUCCAUGGUCACACUCAGCACGUGCUCUGGACUAAGAGGAAUACUGCAAUUUGAAAAUGUUUCUUAUGGAAUUGAGCCUCUGGAAUCUGCAGUUGAAUUUCAGCAUGUUCUUUACAAAUUAAAGAAUGAAGACAAUGAUAUUGCAAUUUUUAUUGACAGAAGCCUGAAAGAACAACCAAUGGAUGACAACAUUUUUAUAAGUGAAAAAUCAGAACCAGCUGUUCCAGAUUUAUUUCCUCUUUAUCUAGAAAUGCAUAUUGUGGUGGACAAAACUUUGUUUGAUUACUGGGGCUCUGAUAGCAUGAUAGUAACAAAUAAAGUCAUCGAAAUUGUUGGCCUUGCAAAUUCAAUGUUCACCCAAUUUAAAGUUACUAUUGUGCUGUCAUCAUUGGAGUUAUGGUCAGAUGAAAAUAAGAUUUCUACAGUUGGUGAGGCAGAUGAAUUAUUGCAAAAAUUUUUAGAAUGGAAACAAUCUUAUCUUAACCUAAGGCCUCAUGAUAUUGCAUAUCUACUAAUUUAUACGGAUUAUCCUCGUUAUUUGGGAGCAGUGUUUCCUGGAACAAUGUGUAUUACUCGUUAUUCUGCAGGAGUUGCAUUGUACCCCAAGGAGAUAACUCUGGAGGCAUUUGCAGUUAUUGUCACCCAGAUGCUGGCACUCAGUCUGGGAAUAUCAUAUGAUGACCCAAAGAAAUGUCAAUGUUCAGAAUCCACCUGUAUAAUGAAUCCAAAAGUUGUGCAAUCCAAUGGUGUGAAGACUUUUAGCAGUUGCAGUUUGAGGAGCUUUCAAAAUUUCAUUUCAAAUGUGGGUGUCAAAUGUCUUCAGAAUAAGCCACAAAUGCAAAAAAAAUCUCCGAAACCAGUCUGUGGCAAUGGCAGAUUGGAGGGAAAUGAAACCUGUGAUUGUGGUACUGAGGCUCAAUGUGGACCUGCAAGCUGUUGUGAUUUUCGAACUUGUGUACUGAAAGACGGAGCAAAAUGUUAUAAAGGACUGUGCUGCAAAGACUGUCAAAUUUUACAAUCAGGCGUUGAAUGUAGGCCGAAAGCACAUCCCGAAUGUGACAUCGCUGAAAAUUGUAAUGGAAGCUCACCAGAAUGUGGUCCUGACAUAACUUUAAUCAAUGGACUUUCAUGCAAAAAUAAUAAGUUUAUUUGUUAUGACGGAGACUGCCAUGAUCUCGAUGCACGUUGUGAGAGUGUAUUUGGAAAAGGUUCAAGAAAUGCUCCAUUUGCCUGCUAUGAAGAAAUACAAUCUCAAUCAGACAGAUUUGGGAACUGUGGUAGGGAUAGAAAUAACAAAUAUGUGUUCUGUGGAUGGAGGAAUCUUAUAUGUGGAAGAUUAGUUUGUACCUACCCUACUCGAAAGCCUUUCCAUCAAGAAAAUGGUGAUGUGAUUUAUGCUUUCGUACGAGAUUCUGUAUGCAUAACUGUAGACUACAAAUUGCCUCGAACAGUUCCAGAUCCACUGGCUGUCAAAAAUGGCUCUCAGUGUGAUAUUGGGAGGGUUUGUGUAAAUCGUGAAUGUGUAGAAUCAAGGAUAAUUAAGGCUUCAGCACAUGUUUGUUCACAACAGUGUUCUGGACAUGGAGUGUGUGAUUCCAGAAACAAGUGCCAUUGUUCGCCAGGCUAUAAGCCUCCAAACUGCCAAAUACGUUCCAAAGGAUUUUCCAUAUUUCCUGAGGAAGAUAUGGGUUCAAUCAUGGAAAGAGCAUCUGGGAAGACUGAAAACACCUGGCUUCUAGGUUUCCUCAUUGCUCUUCCUAUUCUCAUUGUAACAACCGCAAUAGUUUUGGCAAGGAAACAGUUGAAAAAUUGGUUCGCCAAGGAAGAGGAAUUCCCAAGUAGCGAAUCUAAAUCGGAAGGUAGCACACAGACAUAUGCCAGCCAAUCCAGCUCAGAAGGCAGCACUCAGACAUAUGCCAGCCAAACCAGAUCAGAAAGCAGCAGUCAAGCUGAUACUAGCAACUUUUCUCUAUGUAUCUAAUAGAAAGGAUAAGUUUUCCUAUUUGUCCAGUCUGCCAAACUGGUCAGAAGUAAAUAUCCAAAUCAGAAGAUAGUGCUGAAGCAUAUACUAGCAGAUCCAAAUCACAGGAAAGUACCCAAACACAAAGCAGUAGUAACUAGUGAUUCCUUCAGAAGGCAACGGAUAACAUCGGGAGUCUCGCUAAGAAAUGAAAAUUCUGUCUUUCCUUCCGUGGUCACAGCUGAAAGAAACAAUAAAUUGAGUGUGGAUCAAUUUG